UACGAAGGGGGCUAGCGUUGCUCGGAAUCACUGGGCGUAAAGGGCGCGUAGGCGGAUCUUUAAGUCGGGGGUGAAAGCCCAGGGCUCAACCCUGGAAUUGCCUUCGAUACUGAAGAUCUCGAGACCGGAAGAGGUAAGUGGAACUGCGAGUGUAGAGGUGAAAUUCGUAGAUAUUCGCAAGAACACCAGUGGCGAAGGCGGCUUUCUGGCCUGUUCUUGACGCUGAGGCGCGAAAGCUAGGGGAGCGAACGGG
rnacentral:rRNA from 1 species